rnacentral:misc_RNA from 1 species
AGCAGCCGCGGUAAUUCCAGCUCCAAUAGCGUAUAUUAAAGUUGUUGCAGUUAAAAAGCUCGUAGUUGAAUUUCGGGAUUAAUAUGUUGGUCGUGCCUUGGUACGUACUGGCAUUAUUGAUUCCUACCUUCUGAAGAACCUCGAUGUCAUUAAUUUGGUGUCUUGGGGAAUCAGGACCGUUACUUUGAAAAAAUUAGAGUGUUUAAAGCAGGCUCGCGCUUGAAUACAUUAGCAUGGAAUAAUGAAAUAGGACGUUUGAUUCUAUUUUGUUGGUUUCUAGGAUCGACGUAAUGAUUAAUAGGGAUAGUUGGGGGCAUUAGUAUUCAAUUGUCAGAGGUGAAAUUCUUGGAUUUAUUGAAGACUGACUACUGCGAAAGCAUUUGCCAAGGAUGUUUUCAUUAAUCAAGAACGAAAGUUAGGGGAUCGAAGACGAUCAGAUACCGUCGUAGUCUUAACCAUAAACUAUGCCGACUAGGGAUCGGAUGAUGUUAAUUUUAAUGACUCAUU